AGUGAAGAUAGAGGUGCGAACUUCAUCAGUAAAAGCUUGGAGAAGAAUGAGCUUCAAUGAAAAGCUUUGAAAGGGAACGUUCGCCGAAGUGAAGAAAAACUCAUUUUUUUCUUUGCUGGUCCUGCAUUUAAGAGAUGCCGGAUUGUCAAGGCGGUGCCGCCUUGGAGAGCUAUCUCACUG
rnacentral:ncRNA from 10 species